AAAGUACUCCCUCCAUCCCAAAAUUCUUGUCUUAGAUUUGUCUAGAUAUGGAUGUAUCAAGUCACAUUUUAGUAUUAGAUACAUCUGUAUCUAGACAAAUCUAAGACAAGAAAUUUGGGACAGAGGGAGUAGUUG
rnacentral:pre_miRNA from 1 species